UUUAUAUAUGACUUGCAUUAUCAUGGUUAUAAACUUUCAUGGAUGGAUCAUGCAUUGCUUUAUGACCUGAUUUGUGUAUAUCAUCUAUAAAAUAUUUUAUUUUACUACAACUGUUGGCUUUUUAAUUACUGCAUUGGCAUAAUUGUACUUGAUCAAAUAAGAUAGUACCUGGUUACUUACUGAGCUGUGUAGCUCAUAUCUUUUCAUCUAUUUUUUUUCUACAGAUGAAUAAGACUACUAGGAGCAGGGAGCUUGGUGUUAUUCAGGGUUGGGGUAACUGAAAAUGUUAUGUAAUAAUUAAUUUUAGAAGCUCUGUACUGUUCCAACUUCAUGAAUAAUGUUAUGACACUAGUAAAUAAAACUAUCUAUUUUUAUUAUGAAAUUUUAAAUGGCUUCGUGUUAUUGUGUGCAUAAGAUUGCAAUAGUACGGCCGUGUCAUGAUCCGGAUUUGGGGCGUAACAUUUAGUGGUAUCAGAGCUUAGGUUUAAGAUCAUUGGGAUUAUGACAAUUAAACUAUCAGAAGCUAGGUUUAAGAUCACUUAGGAUUGCGAUAUGAAUGAUACAAGAACUUAAGGUUUAAGACUACUAAGGACUGUGGCACAAGUGGCUUUAAGUUGGAAGUUUAAGAUCAUUGAGGAUUGUAACAAAAUUGGAAUCGGAACAAAGGUUUAAGAGCAAUAGGGAAUGUGACAGGAAUAUAUGAGAGCUUAAAGAUUAAGAUCACUAGUGAUUGUGAUAGAAAUAUAGCAAUUUUUUAAAUUAUGAUUAAAUUAGAUUUUGACUAAUAUUAAGUGGAGUACUAGCCAUGGAAUAUUAAAGUACAUUGUGAUUGUUUGUGUAUUUAUAUAUAAGUGAUUUUGGAAGAUCAACUUGAUAUCGGGUACUGUGGAUAAUACUUCUAGUUUGUAGUUAAUUAUUUUGAUGGCAAGAUAGGGUUCAUUCAUAAGUUGUUUAAGGCUUGGACAAGAAAAGAUUUUAUAUUCUUCGAGAAUGAAAUAUGUAUGACAAUUAUGCAUGAAACUGUUAUAUAGAAAGAAAAUAUAUUUGAGGAUGAGACUUAAGAGUUUUUCCUUUGUUUACUUGAAAUAUGAAAUAUUAGAUGUUUUCCAAUUACAAUGCGAAUUGGUAUUUUGAUUGAAAGUCAUUUAGUAAAUUUUGAGAAUAAUUAUCAAUCUUGAAAAAUAUUUGAGGCUCAAAUGUUC
rnacentral:lncRNA from 1 species